CCUACGGGUGGCUGCAGUAGGGAAUAUUGCUCAAUGGGGGAAACCCUGAUGCAGCAACGCCGCGUGGAGGAUGAAGGUUUUCGGUUUGUAAACUCCUGUUGUUAGAGAAGAUAAUGACGGUAUCUAACGAAUAAGCACCGGCUAACUCCGUGCCAGCAGCCGCGGUAAUACGGAGGGUGCAAGCGUUAUUCGGAAUUACUGGGUGUAACGGGCGCGUAGGCGGGACAGCAAGUCAGAUGUGAAAUCCUAUGGCGUAACCAUAGGACUGCAGUGGAAACUGUGAUUCUAGAGUAUGGGAGGGGUAAGUGGAAUUCUUAGUGUAGGGGUAAAAUCCGUAGAGAUCAAGAGGAAUACUCAUUGCGAAGGCGACCUGCUAGAACAUAACUGACGCUGAUGCGCGAAAGCGUGGGGAGCAAACAGGAUUAGAUACCCGUGUAGUC
rnacentral:rRNA from 1 species